UUAGCAGCGGUGUUAGAGCACAAAGAAUUUUGAUUUCUUAAGAGGGACACCUACUCCCCUACUAAA
rnacentral:tRNA from 1 species